AGAGUUUGAUCCUGGCUCAGAACAAACGCUGGUGGCGUGCUUUAUACAUGCAAGUCGAGCGGAAGUUAGUUGGAAAAGAAGAUAGCAGAAGGUAGUUCUCUACUAACUGUUUAUUCUUUUUUACUAUCUUUAGCGGCGAACGGAUGAGUAACGCGUGGAUAAUCUACCCUUGAGAUGGGAAUAACAUUCUGAAAGGAAUGUUAAUACCAAAUAACGUUGUGGAACAUAAGUUUUACAACCAAAGAUUGGCUUUAUGCCUUUUGCUCAAGGAUGAGUCCGCGUUCUAUUAGCUAGUUGGUAAGGUAAAAGCCUACCAAGGCAAUGAUAGAUAACCGGCCUGAGAGGGUGUACGGUCAUACUGGGACUGAGAUACGGCCCAGACUCCUACGGGAGGCAGCAGUAGGGAAUCUUCCGCAAUGGGCGAAAGCCUGACGGAGCGACGUCACGUGGAUGAUGAAGGCCUUUGGUCGUAAAGUCCCGUCAGGAGGGACGAUGGUCAAUGCACUAUGAUUGAUUGACGGUACCUCCAGAGGAAGCUCCGGCCAACUACGUGCCAGCAGCCGCGGUAAUACGUAGGGAGCGAGCGUUGUUCGGAUUUACUGGGCGUAAAGGGUGUGUAGGCGGUUAUAUAAGUCAAAAGUGAAAUCNCUACUCUUAAGGUAGGAACUGCUUUUGAUACUAUAUAACUAGAGAACAAAGGGGGGAAUGAACUCUGGGAGUAGCGGUGGAAUGCGUAGAUAUCCAGAGGAACGCCGGUAGCGAAAGCGGUUCCCUAAUUUGCUUCUGACGCUGAAACACGAAAGCUAGGGGAGCGAUCGGGAUUAGAGACCCCGGUAGUCCUAGCCGUAAACGAUGAGUACUAAGUGUAGGGGGGGCAUUACCCUCUGUGCUAAAGCUAACGCGUUAAGUACUCCGCCUGGGGAGUACAACCGCAAGGUUAAAACUCAAAGGAAUUGACGGGGGGCUGAACAAGCAGUGGAGCACGUGGUUCAAUUCGACGCAAAGCGAAAAACCUUACCAGGGCUUGACAUGCUAGUAGUAGCAAUCUGAAAAGUGAGCAAUCUGAAGCAUCUGUUUCAGAAGCUAGUACAGGUGGUGCAUGGCUGUCGUCAGCUCGUGCCGUGAGGUGUCGGGUUAAGUCCUUUAACGAGCGCAACCCCUGUCCUUAGUUGCCAUCGGGUAGAGCCGGGCACUCUAAGGAGACUGCCGUCUUAAAACGGAGGAAGGGAGGGACGACGUCAAGUCAUCACGCCCCUUAUGUCCUGGGCUACACACGUCCUACAAUGGCUAGCACAAAGAGAAGCAAAGGAGCAAUCCUAAGCAAAUCUCCAAAGCUAGCCUCAGUUCGGAUUGUAGGCUGCAAUUCGCCUACAUGAAGGAGGAAUUGCUAGUAAUCGUGGAUCAGCAGGCCACGGUGAAUACGUUCUCAGCCCUUGUACACACCGCCCGUCACACCACCCGAGUUAAGUGUACCCAAAGAUAUCUGACCAACCUGCAAAGGAGGAAAGAUGUUGAAGGUAUGUUUAGUAAGGGGGAUGAAGUCGUAACAAAGGUA
rnacentral:rRNA from 1 species